rnacentral:tRNA from 1 species
GCGGGCGUGGCGAAAUGGCAGACGCGCCAGACUUAGGAUCUGGUUCCGCAAGGAGUGGAGGUUCAAGUCCUCUCGCCCGCACCA